rnacentral:sRNA from 1 species
UAUAGUCAUCACUUGGCAUGCGCUCUA